GCCCAGCUAGCUCAGCUGGUAUAGAGCAUGAGACUCUUAAUCUCAGGGUCAUAGGUUCCUGCCUCACAUUGGGCA
rnacentral:tRNA from 1 species